rnacentral:rRNA from 1 species
UGGGGAAUUUUGGACAAUGGGGGCAACCCUGAUCCAGCAAUGCCGCGUGUCUGAAGAAGGCCUUCGGGUUGUAAAGGACUUUUGUUGGGGAGCAAGAUGGGCAUGUUAAGAGCUAGCCUAUUUGAGAGUACCCAAAGAAUAAGGACCGGCUAACUACGUGCCAGCAGCCGCGGUAAUACGUAGGGUCCAAGCGUUAAUCGGAAUUACUGGGCGUAAAGAGUGCGCAGGCGGCAUUAUAAGCUUGAUGUGAAAUCCCCGGGCUCAACCUGGGAACUGCAUUGAUGACUGUAAUGCUAGAGUGUAGCAGAGGGGGGUAGAAUUCCACGUGUAGCAGUGAAAUGCGUAGAGAUGUGGAGGAAUACCGAUGGCGAAGGCAGCCCCCUGGGUUAACACUGACGCU